UACGUAGGGUGCGAGCGUUGUCCGGAAUUAUUGGGCGUAAAGAGCUCGUAGGCGGCUUAGUAAGUCGGGUGUGAAACCUCCAGGCUCAACCUGGAGACGCCACCCGAUACUGCUGUGGCUAGAGUCCGGUAGGGGAGCGUGGAAUUCCUGGUGUAGCGGUGAAAUGCGCAGAUAUCAGGAGGAACACCAGCGGCGAAGGCGGCGCUCUGGGCCGGUACUGACGUGAGGAGCGAAAGCGUGGGGAGCAAACAGG
rnacentral:rRNA from 1 species